rnacentral:rRNA from 1 species
GAUGAACGCUGGCUACAGGCUUAACACAUGCAAGUCGAGGGGCAGCGGGGAUCUAGCUUGCUAGAUCUGCCGGCGACCGGCGCACGGGUGAGUAACACGUAUCCAACCUGGCCCAUACUCGGGUAUAGCCUCUCGAAAGGGAGAUUAAUCCCCGAUGUUGUUGUUUCACCGCAUGGUGUACCAACCAAAGAAUUUUGGUAUGGGAUGGGGAUGCGUUCCAUUAGCUUGUUGGCGGGGUAACGGCCCACCAAGGCGACGAUGGAUAGGGGUUCUGAGAGGAAGGUCCCCCACACUGGAACUGAGACACGGUCCAGACUCCUACGGGAGGCAGCAGUGAGGAAUAUUGGUCAAUGGUCUGACGACUGAACCAGCCAUGCCGCGUGAAGGUGACGGCCCUAUGGGUCUUAAACUUCUUUUGUAAGGGAGCAAUAAGGUCUACGUGUAGAUUGAUGAGAGUACCUUACGAAUAAGCAUCGGCUAACUCCGUG